rfam:Loxodonta africana unplaced genomic scaffold scaffold_16, whole genome shotgun sequence.
UCCUGGGUGGUGUAAAUGGUUAACAUGGUUAGCUGCUAACUGAAAGAUUGGAGGUUCAAGUCCACCCAGAGGUG